GUGUCAGCCGCCGCGGUAAAACGUAGGAGCCAAGCGUUAUCCGAAUUCACUGGGCGUAAAGCGUGUGCAGGCGGUCAGAUAAGUUGGAUGUGAAAUCUCCUGGCUCAACUGGGAGAGGCCGUUCAAUACUGUCAGACUAGAGGACAACAGAGGGAAGUGGAAUUCCGGGUGUAGUGGUGAAAUGCGUAGAUAUCCGGAGGAACACCAGUGGCGAAAGCGGCUUCCUGGGUUGUAUCUGACGCUCAGACACGAAAGCUAGGGUAGCGAACGGGAUUAGAAACCCCCGUAGUCC
rnacentral:rRNA from 1 species